AAUCCAUAGGUUAAUGAGGCGAACCGGGGGAACUGAAACAUCUAAGUACCCCGAGGAAAAGAAAUCAACCGAGAUUCCCCCAGUAGCGGCGAGCGAACGGGGAGGAGCCCAGAGCCUGAAUCAGCAUGUGUGUUAGUGGAAGCGUCUGGAAAGGCGCGCGAUACAGGGUGACAGCCCCGUACACAAAAGCGCAUGUGCUGUGAGCUCGAUGAGUAGGGCGGGACACGUGGUAUCCUGUCUGAAUAUGGGGGGACCAUCCUCCAAGGCUAAAUACUCCUGACUGACCGAUAGUGAACCAGUACCGUGAGGGAAAGGCGAAAAGAACCCCGGCGAGGGGAGUGAAAAAGAACCUGAAACCGUGUACGUACAAGCAGUGGGAGCACAGGUUUACCUGUGUGACUGCGUACCUUUUGUAUAAUGGGUCAGCGACUUAUAUUCUGUAGCAAGGUUAACCGUAUAGGGGAGCCGUAGGGAAACCG
rnacentral:rRNA from 1 species